rnacentral:tRNA from 1 species
AUCAAUGGAACAUGUAAUAUGUAUUAAUUUUAAGCAUUAAAAAAAGAAUUUUUCUCUUUGAUA